CCCUUGGAGCGUUAUACCAAACGAAAGUAGCUAGACUAUUUUAUAGCAGUAAAAUCGGGCGCGAUGAAUAGGGAA
rnacentral:ncRNA from 1 species